CUACGGGGGGCAGCAGUGGGGAAUAUUGGGCAAUGGGCGCAAGCCUGACCCAGCAACGCCGCGUGAGGGAGAAGGUUUUCGGAUUGUAAACCUCUGUCCUUGGGGACGAAGAAGUGACGGUACCCAAGGAGGAAGCUCCGGCUAACUACGUGCCAGCAGCCGCGGUAAUACGUAGGGAGCAAGCGUUGUCCGGAAUUACUGGGCGUAAAGGGUGCGUAGGCGGCAUAUUAAGUCAGGUGUGAAAUACUCGGGCUCAACCCGGGGGCUGCAUUUGAAACUGAUAUGCUUGAGUGUGAGAGAGGAAAGUGGAAUUCCUAGUGUAGCGGUGGAAUGCGUAGAUAUUAGGAGGAACACCAGUGGCGAAGGCGACUUUCUGGCUCAUAACUGACGCUGAGGCACGAAAGCGUGGGGAGCAAACAGGAUUAGAUACCCCGGUAGUC
rnacentral:rRNA from 1 species